AAAUAGGCUUGCUAGCUGAUUGUAUAUAUAUGCUGGCCGUAUUUCAUAGCAAGCUCGCUUUUAAUAGGCAACCAGUAAUAUGAGCAAUUCUUUACCUACAAGCCUAUAAUUAUAUUAACUCUAAGAGAAAUCUAAUAAUAAACGGAGUGAAUUGAAAUAUCUUAUUAACUUCAGGAAAAGAAAUCAAAAGAGAUUCUAUGAUUAGCGUGAGCUAAAAUAGAGUAGCCUAGAAAGUCAAAUGGUGGAUAAACUGUUUAAAUUUAAUGGGGAACCUUCCUCAAAGGCUAAAUAUAAUAUGUAAGCGAUAGUGGAAAGUACCGUGAGGGAACCAAAACAAAAACAGUAAUUUUAUAAGCAGUUCGGAAAAAUAAAAAAGUUAGAACGUACCUUUUGCAUAAUGGGUCACCAAGUUAACAUUAGAUGCGAGAUUCUACGUAGUUAAACCGAGCGUUAAAAUAACGGUAAGUGUCUAAAGUUAGACCCGAAGCCUGGUGAUUUUACCAUAAUCAGGAUUAUAAAAGUCCGAACGGAAUAUUGUAGCAUAAAUAUCCGAAGAAUUAUGGUAGGUGUAGUGAAAGACAAUACUGACCAGGAUAGCUGGUUAAAAAUAUAGGUGUAAGCAACCUCUAAGAGCCAGUAUGUAGAAGUGAACCUUCUGCAAUAAACCUUCAAAUUGACGGGGAAGCCCUAAAGCAAUCUAAACCAAGUAAGCAUGGCAACAUAGCUUAUGGCACAGGUAAUGACUCGUGGUAUGGUAAAAUAUAGAUUGAUUUACGAUAGUAAGUAAAAUGGGUUAUCCGCAGCCAAGCACCUUAUGGGUGUGCAGUUCAUCGACUAAAUGUGGGUUGGCGCAAGCUUAAGAUAUAGUCAGACCUUAUCCGAAAGGAUACAGAAUAAUAAAUACUAAUAACAAAAUUAAGUAGACGGGCGCAAGCUCUUGCUACUAAAAGGAACAGAAUCUGUUACCUUUCUAAUAUAGGCUAAGAGGAAAAAUAAAAAAAAACCAAGAUAUGAAAAAAACAUUAAAUAAUAUAAUAACAAACUCUAAUGCAACACUACCUAAUCAUUAUGUAGAUUGUGACUUAGAGAAAAUGAAUAGUCCUUCGGGAGCGAAGCUUACAGCAAGCUCUUAAAUGAAAAUAAAGAUAAAGGUGGAGUUUACUGUUGAAUAAAUAAUAUUAAUAGUAAAUUUUAUGUAGGUAGUUCUACUGAUUUAAGAACUAGAUUUUAUAAAUAUUAUAGUAUUAAAAACUUAAAUGAAAAAAGAACACCUAUACAUAAUGCCUUGUUAAAAUAUGGAUAUAGUAAUUUUUCAUUGGUAAUAUUAGAAUAUACAGGUGAAAAUGAAUAGUCCUUCGGGAGCGAAGCUUACAGCAAGCUCCCCAUAAAUAAAGAACAACUUUAUUUAGACUUGUUAAAACCUGAAUAUAAUAUAUUAGGUACAGCAGGUUCUAGUUUAGGAUUUAAACAUUCAGAACAAACUCUAAAGUAUUUUAGAGAAAAUCGAAUAGUUUCAGAUGAAACUCGUAAUAAUUUAAGUAUAGCCGCUAGAGAAAGAAUAUUACCUCAAGAGGUUCGAGAUAAAAUAUCCGAAAAUCGUAAAGGUAUAAAGCUUUCGGAUAAUACGCGUGCAAAGAUUUCAGAGUCAGCUAUACUUUUAAGAGGUGUAAAAGUAAACGUAACUAACGUCGAAACUAAUGAGGUAUUAUCUUUUGAUAAUUUAACCUCUGCUGCUAAACACAUAGGUGUUAGCAGACCGGCCGUAGCCAAGGCUUUAAAAACUGGUAGUCUAAUCAAAGGCGCAUUUAAAAUCAACGAAUAGUUGAUUAAUUAGUAUUUAUUAUUUGUUAAAUGGACGAUUAAGUAUUUAUAGGUUACUUAAUUGUUUAGGGAGAAGGACUUCAGCUUUAUCUGGCGUAAGCCAGAUAGAAGAAGUAGAUUCGUUUCUGCGAAACCUAUAACAGUAGGCAAUUUAAGUAUAAUAUCUUAGCAGGUACAGAAUUUAAUCUCAGACAAGACAUAAGGCUUAGCUUGUUAGCAAGUUAAGCCCAUGUUUUAUUUUGUACAAAUUGGGGGAUCAUGAAGAUUUUAUCAGUGAGUAUGUAGACUCGGAAUGGCAAAGAUAUAUCUUAAAUCAUCAGACAUAGAAUGAUAAGGUUGUAUGUCAAAAGGGAAACAGCCCAGAACAAGAGUUAAGGUUCCUAAAUUAUUAGUUGAGUGAAAUUAAGAAGGUUUUUAUUAAAGUCGACAAGGAGAUAGGCUUAGAAGCAGCCAUAAUUUUAUGACCUCGUAACAGAGCGCUUGUUAAGUUUUAAAAGCAUCGAAAAUUUAUCGGAUCUAAACAAUAUACCGAAACCUUGUCCAUAUUAUUUUAUAAUUAAAGAUCUUUAAUUAUAAUUAAAUGGGGUAGCAGAACGUUGAGCUAAAUUAAGAUUUUUAUUUUUUAAAUGAAAUUAUAAUAAUUUAACUCAAGUGAUAAUGGUGACAUGAGUAACUAAAAGAAAAUUUUCCGCCUAAAGCUUAUGGAUGUAAUUAAGUAACGGCCUCUAAGUUUAUGGAAUCAAAAGAUUAAAACGAUGAGACAAUCUUUCAUACUAAGGACGACAUUUUAAGUGAAAAAUGUACUGGAAAAAUAGUAAUAAGUUUAAGCUAUAGCUAGAACUAGCUAUAGCUGUAAAUGGAAAGUAACCGUACCUAGAAUCUGAAACAAGUAAGCUAGUAGAGAAUACGAAGGCGUAAAUGAGCUAACAAUCAUAAAGGAACUCGGCAAAUUGACUACCGUAACUUCGGGAUAAGGAGAGCUCAUUAUUCUUGAUUAAUAUCAGGUAAAGAGGAAGAAGCAUGAAAUAGUGUUGUACGACUGUUUAAUUAAAACACAGCACUUUGCUGAAAGAUUAAAAAUCUAAGUAUAGAGUGUGAUGUCUGCCCGGUGCCGGCUGGUUAACAGAUAUAAUUAAAUAUACUAAUAUUUGAUGUAGACGGAAACCCCGGUUAAAGGCGGCCUUAACGUGAGGGUCCUAAGGUAGCGAAAUGCCUUGGCCGUUAAAUGCGGUCUUGCAUGAAUGAUGUAACGAUACAACAGCUGUCUCUAUGAUUGACUCAGUGAAAUUGGAAUAGCUGUGCAGAUACAGUUUACCUCUAGUUAGACGAGAAGACCCUAUGCAGCUUUACUGUCACUAAUUAUAGAGUAUGAUAAACAAUUUUCAGUUUAUAAGGUAAUUGACGGCCGGCUUGCUUAGCAAGCUGGCUCUAUGACAAUGAGAAUCCUUUAUUUUUUUUUCAUAUGAAUGAAUUGGUUUAGGACGAGCUUAAGCUCGUAGUAAAUCAACCUAAUUCAGCUUAUUUUCCUUUCUGCUGUAAGCGCAUAAAGAUAGAUUAUACUUAAAUUUGGAUUUAUGCCUGCAGAAAUAGAUAAGUACCCUUGGUUAAGGAACUAUCGCUAGGGGACAGUUUAUGUGGGGCACAGACCCUGUAAAGAGUAAACAGGAGUGUCUAAUAAUUUAUAAUUAUUUUGUUUGCGAUUUAAGGUAGUAGAACUAUUUUUAAUCAUAUAAAAUUAUUUAUAUGUACAUUCGUUGUAUAUAUAUUUAAAAAAAGGUAGGAUUUUCACUAUAUAGAAAUUAGAGAUAAUAAAAAUAUUAAGUAGUAGCUGCGGCUAGACUUCGUCUAGCAAGCUCGCACUAAUAUUUUUUAACUAUUAAGACUGGCUAUCUAGCUAUGCUCUAAUAGUUAUGUUUUAAUUAUCUAAAAAGCUCAACGGCUAAAUCUUGCCUUACUGUUUGAUUAUCAACAAAUCUUACAGUUGCGUAAGCAGGGCAUAGGAUCACAAGAUGCAACAAGGAAAGAUCUUGGAUUAUUGGAAAAGCUACGCUAGGGAUGUUUGUCCUUUAAUAUUUUAUUUCUCGGUGGUAUAGGUCUAGGCAUAUUUUU
rnacentral:ncRNA from 1 species